ACUCCUGCGGGAGGCAGCAGUGGGGAAUAUUGGACAAUGGGCGCAAGCCUGAUCCAGCCAUGCCGCGUGAGUGAUGAAGGCCCUAGGGUUGUAAAGCUCUUUCACCGGUGAAGAUAAUGACGGUAACUGGAGAAGAAGCCCCGGCUAACUUCGUUCCAGCAGCCGCGGUAAUACGAAGGGGGCUAGCGUUGUUCGGAUUUACUGGGCGUAAAGCGCACGUAGGCGGACUAUUAAGUCAGGGGUGAAAUCCCGGGGCUCAACCCCGGAACUGCCUUUGAUACUGGUAGUCUUGAGUUCGAGAGAGGUGAGUGGAAUUCCGAGUGUAGAGGUGAAAUUCGUAGAUAUUCGGAGGAACACCAGUGGCGAAGGCGGCUCACUGGCUCGAUACUGACGCUGAGGUGCGAAAGCGUGGGGAGCAAACAGGAUUAGAUACCCCUGUAGUCCC
rnacentral:rRNA from 1 species